CGUCUAUAUACGUAUAGCAUAUCAAUAAGCGGAGGAAAAGAAACUAACUAGGAUUCCCUCAGUAACGGCGAGUGAAGCGGGAAGAGCUCAAAUUUGAAAUCUUCAAGGUUCUACCUUGACGAAUUGUAGUUUAAAGAAGUGUUUUCUGUUGGAGUUUCGGUAAAAGUUCUUUGGAAUAGGACAUCAUAGAGGGUGAGAAUCCCGUAUUUGACCAUUAUUUUCAACUUUGUGAUACACUUUCAAAGAGUCGGAUUGUUUGGGAAUGCAGUCCAAAAUGGGUGGUAAAUUUCAUCUAAAGCUAAAUAUUGGCGAGAGACCGAUAGCGAACAAGUACCGUGAGGGAAAGAUGAAAAGAACUUUGAAAAGAGAGUUAAACAGUACGUGAAAUUGUCAAAAGGGAAGCGUUUGACACCAGUGUUGUUUUCUCGAAAAUCAAUUAAAAAUGGCAGGAUUUUGUGUUGUAUUGACUUUAUCAGCUUUCUGCACUUUUUUCUUGUCUUUUUUAAUGCACUUUUCGUUUAACAAGUCAACAUCAAUUUCUUUUGUUGUAAAAGAGUCAUUGGAAGGUGGCUUUCUUUUCGGAGAGAGUGUUUAUAGCCUUUGACUUCUGCAAUCGGAGAGAUUGAGGUCUGCAGCGUAGAUCCUUCGGGGUUAGAUAGCAUUUGUGCUAAGCUAUAGCCUUUCAUAGACAACUUGUUGACUAUGAUCAGUCAUGUAGCUUACUCGCUUAUGCUAUUUUACCUACGCUUAGGAUGUUGAUCUGUAGUGCGUGCGC
rnacentral:rRNA from 1 species